CGUUUGUUGUGUGUUUCCCGUUUCUGUGUAUGUUUUCUUUACUAAAGCUGGACAGUGAAGCCUGUUGCCUGAGAGCACAUUCACAUCACGGUUGCCGUGGACUCUUAACUCAGGGAAAGCUAAAAGAAUUCACCCAAAAGAAAAGGUGACAUUUCCAUUUUGUACAGUCUGCUAAAAAUGCCACACCAGCUAGAGUUUUAAUCCAUGUCGGAGAAAGAGAAAUUAAUGAGAUCAAUAAAGCAAUCUACUAUAUCCUCACUGCCCCUUCUCAAACAUAAAAGGAGACUGUGUUUCUCAUUGGUUCAUUUUAUUUUUUACGUGUACUAGUUGUGGUGGAAAGAAGAAUGAUCUUCCCAGAGAUAUCGUCAUCCUUGUCUUUGGUAUCUCUGAAAUGUUCCCUUACUGGGCAGAGGAAUUUGUAGACACAACUGAAGGUAAAAACCUUGCGAUGGGGAGAUUAUCCUGGAUUACACAGGCGACUACAACAUAAUCAUAUGAAGCCUUAAGAGUUAAAGAGAAAAGCAGAAGAGAGAGUCAGAGAGAUGUGACCUGAGGUGUUGACCUGCUGUUGCCGAUUUCGAAGAUGGAAAAUGGAGGGUUCAAGCCAAGGUGUGUAGUCAGCCCCUAGAAGCUAGAAAAGGGAAGGCGACAGAUUCUCCCCUAAAGCUUCCCUGAAGACACAU
rnacentral:lncRNA from 1 species